CCAUGAUCAAAAUGAAAAAAGUAACAAAAAGAAGAAAAAGAAGAAAGAUAGCCACUCACUCCAUCUCUGUACCUAGCUUCACCAAUU
rnacentral:ribozyme from 14 species